GGGAAGGUCAGGUCGAAAAUUCAGAUUGAUCUAACCUGUUUUUGCAAAAUAGCACUUUACCUACCCCAAACCUAAAGCGAAGCGCCAAUGCAGGGCUAUUCCAAUACGACUUCUACUCAUGCUUCACGAGGGAAGAGGCUUCUGCAGCCUUUCCAGAGUGUGUUACGAAGAGUCGUAGGAACCGCCAGGUUGCCACAGGGAAUUGAAGCAGAACACUCUGAAGGCUUUAAGGAAGAAAACAGAUCUCCACUCUGUGGCAAGAUUCAUUCCUGUAGCCGGGAAUGGUGAUGACAUGCUUUAAGUUAUUUGAGAUGAGUAAGCAGUUACAAGUUCCACUGGAAAUGUGGCUCCAGUCAUUUUCAGCCAAACCCUGAUAAUGGAAGUUUCAUCCUCUUGGCCAUCCUCUCCUGGGGCCCUGUGACUGCACCUGUUUCAGGCCUCUGCUGUUUCCCACAAGGUGUGGAGGAAUGCCUCGUCAACGCCUGUCAUCGUGUCCUUUUGCCCAUCGGAAGCACCCUACUAGGACUGGCUUUCUCCUACUAGUCCAUUUGCCAUACCCUCUUCUGAGGUCCAGUCUUUGCUGAAGAGAACCAAAGCAUCAGCCUAAAAGGGAAAAAAAGAUAAAAAGAAAAAGAGAAAGAAGGAAAAAAGAAGACGAAAAAAGAUACACCUUGAAUAACACACAUACACCGCCUCCCCCAACCUGUCUGUUGAUCCAGUGAUCUCUCUAGUGACCUGGCGAUCUAUCUAACAAUCUCAAUCCAUCUAAUGGACAUUGUUUUUUUUCUCUGCUUUAAUCUGGGGAACAGUUCACAAAUGGAAAGACAGAAGUUGGCCCUCUCUUACUUAAGCUAGAAACAUUCCUCCCAAAGUGCUGAUGCUGGUCUAUUGUCAGACAGCAUUGCUCUCUCUCAUUAAUAUUAACCAUUUCCUCUAAAGUGUCUUCCUCUUUGACUUGCUCUGUUUUAAGGAGCCAUUAUUCUUAUAGUGGUUGCUAAGUCACCAUCAAAGAAUUCUAAGAUCUUUGAAGCACGAACAUACAGGAAAUCGGCAUUAUCAGUUCCUUAGUCUUUGCAGGUAGUGUGAAUUUAUUUUUGAAAGAGGUAGAGAAAUUGUGGUUGGGUCCAUCUAAGUCAAAAUGCAUUCUACUCCAGAAAUGCAUAUCACUGAAGAAUUAACCACACUGUUAUCAAUGUUAUCUGCUACAGCAUGUGUCAUUAACUUUUACUGAAGCCUACCUAAAUGUCUGUGUGUAUCUCUGCAUGUGUGUGGAGUGUGUUUCGCUAAAGAUAACGUAUGUUCUAUUUAUAGCUAGGACAUUUUUGUAGAAGCAAACUGAGAUUAUACUUUGCCACUUCUACAUAAUCAAGUUGAGAAUUUUUAUUAAUCUAUUUACUGGUUGAUAGGCUAGUUGGCUUCCAGAUAGGGAUGGAGAAGGUUCUGUUUAGUUUUUGUUUUGUUUUCUUGGGAAGUAAAAAAAAGGUGACUCUGUGGCUUAGUAAUCAGAGAUGAACUAUUCAUAAAAGUGUCUGGUGGAAUGCUUUCUUUGAUUGCUGCUGAUGAAUCAAAUCUCUUUAGUUUAACCUUGGCCUCCAAACACAAACUCAAUCCAAACUUGCUUCUAGAAUAUCACGUGUGGCAAAUCUGUGAUCCUGCCAAACCACCUGAAAAGAAUUAUUUUCCUUGCACACAAAAAAUAAUUGUCAGCUCUUUAAAGUUCAGACUGUAGAGGUUUUGAUCAAUUAAAACCGCUUCCAUACCUCAGUAGCAUUCCCAAAGGUUAAAUACAUUUCUGUUCUUGCAUCUACAGGAUAAUUAUGGGAAAGUGAGUGAAUUUCUACUCUGAAAAGAUAUGGAAACCAAGUAGUUAUUUGUGCCUGCAAAUCCUUUUGGGUCUAAAGAACCAGCAAGAUAAUAAAUUGUUUUGCUAAAAACAGGAAGUUUGGCAAAGAUGCAAAAGUACAGCUAAACUUUGGCCAGGAAACCCAAAACAUUGUGUUCUUCUUUGAAAGUAUUUCCAGUGAGAAAAAAAAAAAAAGCGGAGUGCCUUGAAUACAUAGUUUAAGAAACAGUGAAGGCAUCUGGCAACAUGAACUGCUUGCCAAACUUGUGGUCGUGCUGUGCUUGCUGAUGGAAAGAUGUGCCAGUUUUCAAUGACUUAUGUCAUGCACAGCUGGAAACCCACACAUAAGAUCUCGAAUGUUGUGAAGUCCAAAACGAUUCGAGAAAAUAUCUCCCUUUCCUCUCCCUUCAUCCAAACUGUAAAAAAUAUUAAAGAAAAGAAAAAGAAUUACGUGGAGUUUAGAUGGGGAAAAACCAACUUCAGAUUUCCCUGGGAAACCUGUUUCAAGGCAGGAGCGUUCAAUCAGUUGAGACAUUCUGGAAGUUGUUAGGUUUUUUCCUCUCUCUCCCCUCCCUCAAAUUCUUCAUACUCACUCUUGCCAGCUUUAUUAAUAUGAUUGUGAUUAUGUGGCAUCUGUUUUGGACAGAGCCGAUAGGAUUGUAAUUUCCACUUCAGUCCAUCAGUCUGGAAAGACUUCAAAAUGUGGGCCAGAAAAAAUAAGAAAUUAACCCAAGACGUCUGGAAAAGAAAGUAUUGUGCUUCUGUCUAUUCCAGCUGCAGGGAACUCUGGGACAUCUUGAUUGGAGGAGGAUGUGUUGGAGAAAUGAUGCUCCUUGGGCAUGCAGGGCCUUUUCCAGCUGGAAAUGGCAAUGGGACUCCUUUUAUUCUCCCUUUACAAUGAUUAGGCUUGGAGUUUUGAACUCAGGAUUCAAGGAGAGGAACUUCCAACUUUAGUUCCUACCAUUUAUUUGGGGUGGAAGCAAUUGUCCAGCUCCCUUAUUCUCUCAUUUGAGCAGUAGAAGGAAACAAAGCAACCCAUCAGGGUCAGCAGCUGGAGUCAGCACCUCCAGCGAGGGACCUUAUGAACACCUGUACCAGGGAUCCAGAGGCAAGCAGAGAGGAAAGUUUCCCCUUUCUUUCUUCUUCUGAGAUGGGCUUUCUUUAAUCACUAUUUUCUCCCUCUGUCUACUACUCCGUUGUUUGGUUUUACCUUUGAUGUACCUCUUGAUCUUAACUGCCAAUUGUUUUCUCUUGGUGGGGGAAAUAUUGAGCAGCUUAGUGUAGCCAUGGAGUAGGGAAUAUGGACCUCUGGCCCCGGUUUUGUACCUGGUGACCAAGACAAUUCUCUCUCUAAAUCAAGAUCUCUUCAUCUGUUGGUGAGUCAUUGUAAUGGUACGUCAAAGACGUGGUGAAUGGAACAAGGCACAAACUGCAACCCUCGGUGGGUUGCAUGGAUUCAUAUGUGAUCAACAAAUGUUGGCCCCUAUUGGGAUGAAAGGAGCGAGCCCACAAAGUGAUUUGCUCUACCCAGGAGUCAGUCUAGAAAAGUUUUUGGUUUUUCUCAGCAUUAAUUUGUUCUUUUUAGAAACAAAUGCCACCAGCUUUGAGACUGUCAUAUUAAAAAAAUAAAAAUAUAUGGUCUUUAAUUGCUGAUUAGAAAAUGACUGGAUAAUUUAGAGAUUUUCAAGAGAGAAAAGAAACAAGAAUAUCCUUUAAUUUACUACCUAGAAAUAACUGAUUUGUAUGUUGACAUAAUUCUUUCAGUCUUUUUUCUAUGAUUUUGUUUUAAAUUAUCAAAGUGGCACACUGUUAUAUACCCUAAGCAUUUUACAAUACAUUAUUUUGUAAACAUUUUCCCACUUUAAAUAUUAUUUUUUAAAUGCCUAAAAAUAUUAUUCUAAAGGGCACUGUAUCAUCCCAUUGUGUGGCUAUUCGUACAGGAAUUAAGGAUUAAGGGUUCUUUCUUUCUUUUUUUCUCUUUAAAAACACCGUGAUGAAUACCUUUGCAUU